UUUCGCAAUGCCCGAAAGGGUGACGAAGCGACGCCGCGUGUGGGAAGAAGGCCUUCGGGUUGUAAACCACUGUCGGGAGUUAGGAAAUGCAGGUGCGUUAAUAGCGCACUUGCUUGACUAAGGCUCCAGAGGAAGCCACGGCUAACUCUGUGCCAGCAGCCGCGGUGAUACAGAGGCGGCAAGCGUUGUUCGGAAUUAUUGGGCGUAAAGAGCACGUAGGCGGCCUUGCAAGUUAGUUGUGAAAGCCUUCCGCUUAACGGAAGAACGGCAUCUGAUACUACAGGGCUUGAGUACGGGAGGGGAGAGUGGAACUUCUGGUGGAGCGGUGAAAUGCGUAGAUAUCAGAAGGAACGCCGGCGGCGAAAGCGACUCUCUGGUCCGAAACUGACGCUGAGUGUGCGAAAGCUAGGGGAGCAAACGGGAUUAGAUACCCCGGUAGUCCUAGCCGUAAACGAUGGGCACUAAGUAGAGGGGUUUU
rnacentral:rRNA from 1 species